CUUAGGACCCCUGUGAAAGGGUCACUGGGACUCCCAGAGGGACCUCAAGCCACAGAUGGAGAACUGCUGUUCUAGAGUCUUGUGGACCUCUCUCCCUGCAGGAAGAGGAAACAGAUAUUCAAUAGCCAGAGAUACAAAAGGAAGCAGGGAGAACAUUUCAUGUCAAUCAAAUGUUUACCUCUUCUCUCAGUGAACUUUGCAUUAACAAGUGGCAUACCAGAGAGCAUCUCAACCUUUGAUACAGUAGCUGAUGGGAACACCUACUGCUGUUGAAUGCCAUGGUUCAAUCCACAAAGCCGGGCGUGGGGUGGUAUGGAGAUCAUUACUAUGGCGGCAGAGGUUUCCUAAGGAGUGCCGGCUGAGUGCUAAGAGUGUUGGAGUCCAGUGUUCAGCAG
rnacentral:lncRNA from 1 species